rnacentral:rRNA from 1 species
UACGAGGGGGGCAAGUGUUGUUCGGAAUUACUGGGCGUAAAGGGAGCGUAGGCGGAUGCUUAAGUUGGAUGUUUAAAACCGGGGCCCAACCCCGGAGCGGCAUCCAAAACUGGGCAUCUUGAAUGGGACAGAGGCUGGUGGAAUUGGAGGUGUAGCGGUGGAAUGCGUAGAGAUCUCCAAGAACACCUAUUGCGAAGGCAGCCAGCUGGGUCCACAUUGACGCUGAGGCUCGAAAGCAUGGGGAGCGAACAGG